AAAACGGCUCUUUUUAGUGCCACAAAGAAUUUGCUUAUUAGUUGUUU
rfam:Aedes aegypti strain Liverpool supercont1.79 genomic scaffold, whole genome shotgun sequence.